CGGCGAAACCGCCUCCCCGGAGGCGGUCCACGGGAUUGGCAUUCCCGUGCUGAGGAUGCCUGCCGAGC
rnacentral:hammerhead_ribozyme from 2 species